AGAUGAAGCAAUUUAACUUUAAAUAAUAACGUUUUCACAAUUAACUUUACUAAUCUUAUCUACUGUCACAAACUUGGUGAAAUUGUUGCUGCUAAGAGUAUAACUGUCCUUGUCUUUGAGGUGGGUAAACAUACUCAUUCAGGGAAAUGUGACGGGCCUUAUCCAAGAUCACACGCCAGUAAAUGACAGAACUCAGGACUCAUUCUCCUGUCUCUGACGCCAGCUUCUGUGGCUUUUCCAUCAUACCAGGACCCCUCUUGCUAAUGGAAUUUGAGAGCAGAGGAAAGAGAAGUGGGUUUAGAGAAGUUGAUCUGUCUUCUAUGCUCAGAAAGCCAUGAAGCUGGCUCUCUUCUAACCACAAAAGUAGAUGUUGAAGACAUUCAUGUGGCUGAAUUCCUAAUUUUCUAUUUUAGCUAUCCAAGUGUUUGGGGAAAAAAAAGAAUAAAGAACAAAACUUA